rnacentral:rRNA from 1 species
GAUGAACGCUGACAGAAUGCUUAACACAUGCAAGUCUUUGGUGAAGCUGUGCUUGCACAGCCUAGCCAAGGCGGACGGGUGAGUAACGCGUAAGGAACUUGCCCUGCAGUCAGGGAUAACAGACGGAAACGACUGAUAAGACCUGGUAAAGUCAGGCGGACUCAUGUCCAGCCUGAUGAAAAGAGAUGCUGCAGGAGAGCCUUGCGUCCUAUUAGCUUGUUGGUGGGGUAACGGCCCACCAAGGCAAUGAUAGGUAGCCGGCCUGAGAGGGUGGACGGCCACAAGGGGACUGAGAUACGGCCCUUACUCCUACGGGAGGCAGCAGUGGGGAAUAUUGGACAAUGGGGGCAACCCUGAUCCUGCAAUUCUGUGUGCACGAUGAAGGUUUUCGGAUUGUAAAGUGCUUUCAGCAGGGAAGAAAAAAAUGACGGUACCUGCAGAAGAAGCGACGGCUAAAUACGUG